UAUUUUUACAGUCAGAAGUGACCAACAACUUGAAGCAUGCACACUGUGCCCCUUUAUUUUGAGAAUUCAUAUGUGCCAGACUACUGAAAAAAGUGAGCCUAAAAAUAUGGGGGGGGAACCCGAUCAGAUUCAU